AUGUGAAAUUUCGUGUAUACACCUGCAUUAUUGACAAAAUAGUAAUACAAAUAUAACAUGACCGAAUAGAAAUUUUGUUGAGUGUAGAAGUGAAAACAGUCAGUUCAGAAUCUUUUUUUUUUUUUUUUUUUUUUUUUUUUUUUGUAAGUUUGGUCGUGAGUCUUUCUACCGAUUGCCAAGCCUUUUGUAUAAGUGUUGUUCCAAUGAAAACAAGUGUUUUAAAAUAACUUCGAUAGUUUUAAUUGCAAGUGAGACAUUUAUAUUUAACAAAGUCUUAUUUCUUUUUAAGGUUGUGUCUUUGUGGCAGAGAUAAAGUGGUGUAUAUGAGAUCAUAGAUGGGUCCACGUGGUUUCAGAUUUCUACUGUAGGGUAAAAAGGUUGUGUUCAAGGGACAAAGUUCAAGAUCAAAGAAACAGAUCACGGGUGGAUGUGUUUUUCAAAUAUGGAAUAUUAAAUUUGUGUUUUAGUGGCAAAGAUCAAGCACAACAUACAAAUCAUGGACAAAGGUGUUGUUAGAUCUGGAGCACAAACGG